GACCCCGUAGCGCAGUUGGCAGAGCAUUGGGCUAGUAUUCCAAAGGUCGUAGGUUCGAUUCCCACCGUGGCCG